rnacentral:rRNA from 1 species
UUACUACUUGGAUACGUGGUAAUUCUAGAGCUAAUACAUGCUAAAAAUCCCGACUUACGGAGGGAUGUAUUAUUAGAUUAAAAACCAAUGCCCUUCGGGGCUCUUGGUGAUUCAUAAUAACUUUUCGAAUCGCAUGGCCUUGCGCCGGCGAUGGUUCAUUCAAAUUUCUGCCCUAUCAACUUUCGAUGGCAGGGUAUUGGCCUGCCAUGGUUACAACGGGUAACGGAGGGUUAGGGCUCGACCCCGGAGAAGGAGCCUGAGAAACGGCUACUACAUCCAAGGAAGGCAGCAGGCGCGCAAAUUACCCCAAUCCCGACUCGGGGAGGUAGUGACAAUAAAUACUGAUACAGGGCUCUUUUGGGUCUUGUAAUUGGAAUGAGUACAAUUUAAAUCCCUUAACGAGGAACAAUUGGAGGGCAAGUCUGGUGCCAGCAGCCGCGGUAAUUCCAGCUCCAAUAGCGUAUAUUAAAGUUGUUGCAGUUAAAAAGCUCGUAGUUGAACCUUGGGCCUGGCUGGCCGGUCCGCCUCACCGCGUGCACUGGUUCGGCCGGGCCUUUCCCUCUGGGGAACCUCAUGCCCUUCACUGGGUGUGCUGGGGAACCAGGACUUUUACUGUGAAAAAAUUAGAGUGUUCAAAGCAGGCCUAUGCUCGAAUACAUUAGCAUGGAAUAAUAGAAUAGGACGUGUGGUUCUAUUUUGUUGGUUUCUAGGACCGCCGUAAUGAUUAAUAGGGACAGUCGGGGGCAUCAGUAUUCAAUUGUCAGAGGUGAAAUUCUUGGAUUUAUUGAAGACUAACUACUGCGAAAGCAUUUGCCAAGGAUGUUUUCAUUAAUCAGGAACGAAAGUUAGGGGAUCGAAGACGAUCAGAUACCGUCGUAGUCUUAACCAUAAACUAUGCCGACUAGGGAUCGGACGGUGUUAUUUUUUGACCCGUUCGGCACCUUACGAGAAAUCAAAGUCUUUGGGU